UUCCGGUUGAUCCUGCCGGAGGCUACCGCUAUUGGAGUUCGAUUAAGCCAUGCGAGUCGCGAGUCUUAGGGACUCGGCGUACCGCUCAGUAACACGUGGGUAACCUGCCCUAUGCUGGGGGAUAACCUCGGGAAACUGAGAAUAAUACCCCAUAGUUCACCACGCCUGGAACGGUGGGUGGAUCAAAGCUCCGGCGGCAUAGGAUGGGCCUGCGGCGUAUCAGGUUGUAGGGGGUGUAAUGUACCCUCUAGCCCUCUACGCGUACGGGUGUUGAGAGACAUCGCCCGGAGAUGGAUUCUGAGACACGAAUCCAGACCCCACGGGGUGCAGCAGGCGCGAAAACUUGGCAAUGCGAGAAAUCGUGACCAGGGAACUCCAAGUGCAUCGGGUAAGACCGAUGCUUUUCUUGACUCUUCAAAGGUCUUGGAAUAAGGGGUGGGUAAGGACGGUGCCAGCCGCCGCGGUAAUACCGGCGCCCCAAGUGGUAGUCGCUUUUAUUGGGCCUAAAACGUCCGUAGCCGGUCUGGUACAUUCGUGGGUAAAUCAACCAGCUCAACUGGUUGAAUUCUGCGAGCACGGCCAGACUUGGGACCGGGAGAGGUGUGGGGUACUCUCAGGGUAGGGGUAAAAUCCUGUCAUCCUGAGGGGACCACCUGUUGCGAAGGCGCCACACUAGAACGGAUCCGACGGUCAGGGACGAAGCCUAGGGGCACGAACCGGAUUAGAUACCCGGGUAGUCCUAGGUGUAAACGCUGUGGACUUGAUGUUGGGGGCGCUCCGAGCGCACUCAGUGUCGAAGCGAAGGUGAUAAGUCCACUGCCUGGGGAGUACGGUCGCAAGGCUGAAACUUAAAGGAAUUGGCGGGGGAGCACCGCAACCUGAGGAUUGUGCGGUUUAAUUGGAUUCAACGCCGGA
rnacentral:rRNA from 1 species